UCAGCCCCCUGGGAAAGUACAUAUCUGUGAGGCGCUCCCUGCCCGCCGCUUGCACUCCGCCGGCGCCCCGUCCCGCACGGAUCAGCCCCGCCGCCCGGCAGCUCCGCGCCGCUCCGCGCCGCUCCCUCGGGGGCCGCGGCAGCUUUUCAAGUUUUGCUUUCGGGUGCAGUUCGCGCGGGGACGCGCCCUAGCCCACCGCCGCCAUGGAUGCCAUCAAGAAGAAGAUGCAGAUGCUGAAGCUGGACAAGGAGAACGCCUUGGACAGAGCCGAGCAAGCCGAAGCGGACAAGAAGGCAGCGGAGGAGAGAAGCAAGCAGCUGGAGGACGAGCUGGUGGCUCUACAAAAGAAGCUGAAGGGCACUGAGGAUGAGCUGGACAAAUACUCCGAGUCCCUUAAAGAUGCACAGGAAAAGUUGGAACUGGCUGACAAAAAGGCCACAGAUGCUGAGAGUGAAGUAGCUUCUCUGAACAGACGCAUCCAGCUGGUUGAGGAAGAGUUGGAUCGGGCUCAGGAGCGCUUGGCUACUGCUCUGCAGAAGCUGGAGGAGGCCGAGAAGGCUGCAGAUGAGAGUGAAAGAGGAAUGAAGGUCAUUGAAAAUAGAGCCCAGAAGGAUGAAGAGAAGAUGGAAAUCCAAGAGAUCCAGCUUAAAGAAGCUAAGCACAUUGCUGAAGAGGCUGACCGCAAGUAUGAAGAGGUGGCUCGUAAGCUUGUGAUCAUUGAGAGUGACCUGGAGCGGGCUGAGGAACGUGCUGAACUAUCAGAAAGCAAAUGUGCUGAGCUUGAAGAGGAGUUGAAAACUGUGACCAACAACCUGAAGUCGCUGGAGGCUCAGGCUGAGAAGUACUCGCAGAAAGAAGACAAAUAUGAAGAGGAGAUUAAAGUACUGACUGACAAACUGAAGGAGGCUGAGACCCGUGCUGAAUUUGCUGAGAGGUCAGUAACCAAGCUGGAGAAGAGCAUUGAUGACCUAGAAGAUGAGCUAUAUGCUCAGAAACUGAAGUACAAAGCCAUCAGCGAGGAGCUGGACCACGCUCUCAACGAUAUGACUUCCAUGUAAAUGUCUUCCCAGCUUGUGCCUGCAUCUGCUUCCCUGCCCUCAUUGAUUGUGCGGUUCCGGCCUUGUGAAAUUAUACUCCCUCUGUAGCGGGAGACGCAUUCCUUUAGUGAGACUAGGUGCACAAAAUACCAUGAACAAUUUCUUUACCAUGGCAGAGUGUGGAUAAUUUUCUUUGCUUCACUUCUCCAAAGACAUCUUCAUCAGGUUGGAUAAAACAUCUUUCCAAGCUUUGGAUGUUUCAUGGGUUCAUUGUCCUGUCUUCUAGCUUAGUUGACUCUCUUCCUCUAGCACCUGUCUCAGAACAUGCUCUGUUUGUGCUCUGCUGUACAGAAACUCUACAUCUCUCAAUGUAAAAUAAACAUCCCAGCUGUAUCCCUU